GUGGCUGGCUCAGUGGUAGAGUGUUUGCCUUGCAUGCAUGAGGCUUUGAGUUCAAUUCCUCAGGACCACA
rfam:Dipodomys ordii contig_32821, whole genome shotgun sequence.